GCCCGCGUGGCGGAAUUGGUAGACGCAAGGGACUUAAAAUCCCUCAGCCCUUGGGCUGUCCCGGUUCGAGUCCGGGCGCGGGCACCA
rnacentral:tRNA from 1 species